CUACGGGCUGCAGCAGGUAGGAAUAAUCUACAAUGCGCGAAAGUGUGAUAGUUUGAGCCAGAGUGCGAUUCAUUGAAUCGCUUUUGUGGAAUGUAAAAAGUUCUACGAAUAAGGACUGGGUAAGACGGGUGCCAGCCGCCGCGGUAAUACUCGCGGUCCAAGUCGCAGCCAUUUUUAUUGGGUCUAAAACAUCCGUAGCUUGCUUAAUAAGUUUCUUGUGAAAUCCGGCUUCUCAAGAGUUGGGCGGGCAAGAAGUACUGUUGAGCUAGAGACUGGAAGACGUGAGGAGUACGUUCGAAGUAGCGGUAAAAUGUUUUAAUCUCGGACGGACUCACAACAGCGAAGGCACCUCACGAGGACAGUUCUGACAGUAAGGGAUGAAGGCUAGGGGCGCAAAACGGAUUAGAUACCCCCGUAGUC
rnacentral:rRNA from 1 species